rnacentral:rRNA from 1 species
CCUACGGGAGGCAGCAGUGGGGAAUAUUGCACAAUGGGGGAAACCCUGAUGCAGCGACGCCGCGUGAGUGAAGAAGUAUUUCGGUAUGUAAAGCUCUAUCAGCAGGGAAGAAGAAAGACGGUACCUGACUACGAAGCCCCGGCUAACUACGUGCCAGCAGCCGCGGUAAUAUGUAGGGUGCAAGCGUUAUCCGGAUUUACUGGGUGUAACGGGAGCGUAGACGGCUGUACAAGGCUGAAUUGAAAGCCCAGGGCGCAACCCUGGGACUGCGUUGGAAACUGUUGAGCUAGAGUGCUGGAGAGGUAAGUGGGAUUCCUAGUGUAGCGGUGGAAUGCGUAGAUAUUAGGAGGAACCCCAGUGGCGACGGCGGCUUACUGGACAGUAACUGACGUUGAGGCUCGAACGCGUGGGGAGCAAACAGGAUUAGAUACCCGAGUAGUC